GGAAGGAGUUAAACUUUCUUCCUUUACGGUUUUUAACCCGAAAGUCACGGCUAACUAGGGCCAGCAGCCGCGGUAUUAUGUAGGUGGCAAGCGUUGUCCGUAUUUUUUGGGCGUAAAGCGAGCGCAGGCGGUUUCUUAAGUCUGAUGUGAAAGCCCCCGGCUCAACCGGGGAGGGUCAUUGGAAACUGGGAGAUUUGAGUGCAGAAGAGGAGAGUGGAAUUCCAUGUGUAGCGGUGAAAUGCGUAGAUAUAUGGAGGAACACCAGUGGCGAAGGCGGCUCUCUGGUCUGUAACUGACGCUGAGGCUCGAAAGCGUGGGGAGCGAACAGGAUUAGAUACCCUGGUAGUCCACGCCGUAAACGAUGAGUGCUAAGUGUUGGAGGGUUUCCGCCCUUCAGUGCUGCAGCAAACGCAUUAAGCACUCCGCCUGGGGAGUACGACCGCAAGGUUGAAACUCAAAGGAAUUGACGGGGGCCCGCACAAGCGGUGGAGCAUGUGGUUUAAUUCGAAGCAACGCGAAGAACCUUACCAGGUCUUGACAUCCUUUGACCACUUUAGAGAUAGAGCUUCCCCUUCGGGGGCAAAGUGACAGGUGGUGCAUGGUUGUUGUCAGCUCGUGUCGUGAGAUGUUGGGUUAAGUCCCGCAACGAGCGCAACCCUUAUUGUUAGUUGCCAUCAUUUAGUUGGGCACUUUAGCGAGACUGCCGGUGACAAACCGGAGGAAGGUGGGGAUGACGUCAAAUCAUCAUGCCCCUUAUGACCUGGGCUACACACGUGCUACAAUGGGAAGUACAACGAGUUGCGAAGUUGCGAGGCUAAGGUAAUUUUUUAAAGCUUCUUUCAGUUCGGAUUGUAGGCUGCAACUUGCCUACAUGAAGCCGGAAUCGCUAGUAAUUGCGGAUCAGCACGCCGCGGUGAAUACGUUCCCGGGCCUUGUACACACCGCCCGUCACACCACGAGAGUUUGUAACACCCGAAGUCGGUGAGGUAACCUUUUUGGA
rnacentral:rRNA from 1 species